rnacentral:rRNA from 1 species
GAUGAACGCUGGCGGCGUGCCUAACACAUGCAAGUCGAGCGAACACACGAGGUCUUUGGUCCUCUGACGUCAGCGGCGGAAGGGAGAGUCACACAUGUAUAACCUACCUAUAAGACUGGGAUAACAACGGGAAAUCGUAGCUAAUGCCGGAUGAUAUAUUGAACCGGAUGGUUCACUAGUGAAAUUCGCUUUUGCUGUCAGUAAUAGCCGGAUCCGCGCCGCAUUAGCUAGUUGGUAAGGUAACGGCUUACCAAGGCUACGAUGCGUAGCCGACCUGAGAGGGUGAUCGGCCACACUGGAACUGAGACACGGUCCAGACUCCUACGGGAGGCAGCAGUAGGGAAUCUUCCGCAAUGGGCGAAAGCCUGACGGAGCAACGCCGCGUGAGGGAUGAAGGUCUUCGGAUCGUAAAUCGCUGUUGGUAGGAAAGAACAAAUGUGCAAUUAACUAGGCACGUAAUGACGGUACCUGAAGAAAAAGCCACGGCUAACUACGUG